rnacentral:rRNA from 1 species
UACGAAGGGGGCUAGCGUUGUUCGGAAUCACUGGGCUUAAAGGGCGCGUAGGCGGCUUAUCAAGUCGGGGGUGAAAUACUUCAGCUUAACUGGAGAAGUGCCUUCGAUACUGGUGGGCUUGAGGGAGGUAGGGGUCUGUGGAACUUCUGGUGGAGCGGUGAAAUGCGUUGAUAUCAGAAGGAACGCCGGUGGCGAAAGCGACGGACUGGACCUCUUCUGACGCUGAGGCGCGAAAGCUAGGGGAGCAAACGGG